AGGAGCCGCAUGAGGUGAAAAUCUCAUGUACGGUUCUGAAGAGUGGCAGUAGGGUGACUUAUCUGUCAACUUUUCC
rfam:Vitis vinifera, whole genome shotgun sequence of line PN40024, unoriented chromosome 2, chr2